rnacentral:rRNA from 1 species
UACGUAGGGGGCUAGCGUUGUCCGGAAUCAUUGGGCGUAAAGCGCGCGUAGGCGGCCCGGUAAGUCCGCUGUGAAAGUCAAAGGCUCAACCUUUGAAUGUCAGCGGAUACUGCCGGGCUAGAGUCCGGAAGAGGCGAGUGGAAUUCCUGGUGUAGCGGUGAAAUGCGCAGAUAUCAGGAGGAACACCGGUGGCGAAGGCGGGUCUCUGGGCCGAAACUGACGCUGAGGAGCGAAAGCGUGGGGAGCAAACAGG